rnacentral:misc_RNA from 1 species
AACGCACGAGACCUGCGGACCUGCGGAAGGAUCAUUAUCAAUUUACAGCGGACUUCGGUCCUGUCUGCACCCUUGUCUUUUGCGUACUAUAUGUUUCCUCGGUGGGCUUGCCUACCGAUAGGACACUUAUAAACUCUUUUGUAAUUGCAAUCAGCGUCAGAAAACUAUAAUAGUUACAACUUUUAGCAAUGGAUCUCU